rnacentral:rRNA from 1 species
UACGGAGGGUGCAAGCGUUAUCCGGAUUCACUGGGUUUAAAGGGUGCGUAGGUGGGCAGUUAAGUCAGUGGUGAAAAUCUCCGGGCUCAACCCGGAAACUGCCAUUGAUACUAUCUGUCUUGAAAUAUCGUGGAGGUAAGCGGAAUAUGUCAUGUAGCGGUGAAAUGCUUUAGAUAUGACAUAGAACACCAAUUGCGAAGGCAGCUUACUACCCGAAUAUUGACACUGAGGCACGAAAGCGUGGGAUCAAACAGG